rnacentral:lncRNA from 1 species
GGAUUCUUUAUCACCAGUGGCCUCACUUCCUAAACAGAAUUUCCAGCCCUCAAACCAACAUCUUACUAAACCUGCUAAUAAAAUUAUUUGUGCAAACUGCAAAAAUCCUUUACAGAAGGGGCAGACAGCUUAUCAACGAAAAGGAUCAGCUCACCUCUUUUGUUCAACCACCUGCCUUUCUUCUUUCUCUCAUAAGCGCACUCGAAAGACACGCAGUGCAAUGUGUAAAAAAGAUUCUCCUGUGAAACCCACAACUAUUGUUCCUCCAGUGGAGUCAAGCAAGUCCUUACGAGAAUUUCAUAGUGCAUCUCCAUCUCCCUAUGAAAACUGCCAGAGUCUUAGGAAAGAAGUUUUUACUAAGUCAAGAUGUAUAAUCUGUAAUAAAUUAGGAGAGGUCUGCUCUUCAUACUGUUACUGUUUAGACUCUUCUAGUCUAGGCUUUGCCAUCUACCCAAUGUCCAUAUCCUAAAUAUUCAGAUUGGAAGGACUACUAAGGGUGUUAGAAUUUUCUUUAUUUAAAAAAUUUACUACUGA